AACGAACGCUGGCGGCAUGCCUAACACAUGCAAGUCGAACGAGAACUUCGGGUCUAGGGGCGCACGGGUGCGUAACGCGUGGGAACCUGCCCUUAGGUUCGGAAUAACUCCCCGAAAGGGGUGCUAAUACCGGAUAAUGUCUUCGGACCAAAGAUUUAUCGCCUUUGGAUGGGCCCGCGUUGGAUUAGCUAGUUGGUAGGGUAAAAGCCUACCAAGGCGACGAUACAUAGCUGGUCUGGGAGGAUGAUCCGCCACACUGGGACUGAGACACGGCCCAGACUCCUACGGGAGGCAGCAGUGGGGAAUAUUGGACGAUGGGCGAAAGCCUGAUCCAGCAAUGCCGCGUGAGUGAUGAAGGCCUUAGGGUUGUAAAGCUCUUUUACCCGUGAUGAUAAUGACAGUACCGGGAGAAUAAGCUCCGGCUAACUCCGUG
rnacentral:rRNA from 1 species